CAAAAGCUUAGUUCUGACUUUAUUAUCAGCUUUAGCCGGACUUAUACAUGCAAGUAUCCGCACCCCUGUGAGAAUGCCCACUGUUCCCUGCCCGGGAACAAGGAGCUGG
rnacentral:rRNA from 1 species